rnacentral:rRNA from 1 species
CCUACGGGAGGCAGCAGUGGGGAAUAUUGGACAAUGGGGGGAACCCUGAUCCAGCGACGCCGCGUGAGUGACGAAGUUUUUCGGUAUGUAAAGCUCUAUCAGCAGGGAAGAAAGACAUGACGGUCCCUGCCUAACAAGCCCCGGCUAACUACGUGCCAGCAGCCGCCGUAAUACGUAGGGGGCAAGCGUUCGCCGGAUUUACUGGGUGUACAGGGAGCGUAGACGGCGAUGCAAGUCUGAAGUGCAAGGCGGGGGUCCAACCCCCGGACUGCUGUGGAAACUGUAUGGCUGGAGUGCAGGAGAGGUAAGUGGAAUGCCGAGGGUAGCGGUGAAAUGCGUAGAUAGUAGGAGGAACACCAGUGGCGAAGGCGGCUUACUGGACGGGAACGGACGUUGAGGCUCGAAAGCGUGGGGAGCAAACAGGAUUAGAUACCCAAGUAGUC